rnacentral:rRNA from 1 species
UACGUAGGUGGCAAGCGUUGUCCGGAUUUAUUGGGUUUAAAGGGUGCGUAGGCGGCUUUGUAAGUCAGUGGUGAAAUACGGUAGCUUAACUAUCGAGGUGCCAUUGAUACUGCAGAGCUUGAGUACAGAUGAGGUAGGCGGAAUUGACGGUGUAGCGGUGAAAUGCUUAGAUAUCGUCAAGAACACCUAUAGCGAAGGCAGCUUACUAGGCUGUAACUGACGCUGAGGCACGAAAAGUGUGGGGGAUCAAACAGG